CCUUAGUUACGUUCCAAAUUUUAAAAUUUAAAUCCAUUACACCACUUGAAUUUUUAUACCACUUUAGCAUAAAAUAAUAUUAUCAGAGAUUCUUAUGUAACCAUAGAUUAAUUUUGUUACACGGGUAAUUAUUUUAAUGCUGUGCAAUAUUUUGUUGCCUUAUAAUGAACGGUGUACACGCCUCACAUACCUAACCUUUGCGUAGACAAGAUGUAUUGUCAAUAAACAUAGGAUUAUAUAAAGGAUAAUCAUAAGAGUAUUUGUAUCUUUU